UACGAAGGUGGCAAGCGUUACUCGGAAUUACUAGGCGUAAAGCGCAGGUAGGCGGUUCGAUAAGUCUUUUGUGAAAGCUCCCGGCUUAACUGGGAGAGGUCAAGAGAAACUGUCGAGCUAGAGUGUGGUAGAGGAAACUGGAAUUCCCGGUGUAGCGGUGAAAUGCGUAGAUAUCGGGAGGAAUACCUAUGGCGAAAGCAGGUUUCUGGGCCAUCACUGACGCUGAGCUGCGAAAGCUAGGGGAGCAAACAGGA
rnacentral:rRNA from 1 species